rnacentral:lncRNA from 1 species
CCUCUAUUUACUUUUCCCUUCAGGCAAUGCAAGUGUUCAAUUCACUUGAAAAUGUGGAAGAUGCAAAAUUUUCCAAAAUAAUAACUACCUCAACAAGCUAUUGACGAAAUGCGCCCAUGAACGUCCACAAAGCCUUCUAAUCUUGACGAAUAAUUUAAAUAAACAUAAAUACCAAAGCUACGAGCGAAAGAAUAAAGGACGUAUAGUGGCGAUUAAGAAAGAUUAGCUUUGGAUAGUAGGUGAAUGUAUCCAUGGGCGGAGCCACCAAGGGCAACUGCCGCCACUGAAUAUUUCCCCGAUUACACUUGAAGGGCAGCCAGUUUUUAAGGCAAUGAGAAAACCACAAACAACCGCAUCAAAAAUUUGAGAGAAAUCUGUUGAAAAAAUCCCUGUUGCUAGAGGAAGAUUACCAUAAAGAAACAACAAUUUCGGAAAAUAAAUAAAUAAAUUAUAAGGAGUUGAGUUGAAAUUAAAGCAAUCACAACAAUCAGAUUGUGUGAGAUUUCAACAUAUAAAGCCCGACUUACACUGAUAGAAU